rnacentral:rRNA from 1 species
AUGCUAGAUAUUGCUUUAGGCAUUGCACGAGGAAUGGAAUAUCUACAUCAAGGAUGCAACCAGCGCGUUCUCCACUUUGACAUCAAGCCUCACAACAUCUUGCUGGACUACAACUUCAAUCCAAAGAUUUUAGACUUUGGCCUAGCAAAGCUGUGUGCCAGGGACCAAAGCAUCAUUACAUUAACUGCAGCAAGAGGCACACUGGGCUAUAUUGCACCGGAGCUAUAUUCCCGGAACUUUGGGGGCAUAUCCCACAAGUCAGACGUGUACAGUUUUGGCAUGCUGGUGUUGGAGAUGGUGAGUGGUAGGAGGAACUCAGAUCCAAGGACUGAGAGCCAGAACGAGGUAUACCUCCCGGAAUGCAUCUAUGAGGAAGUUAUCGCUGGCCAGGACUUGGCGCUUACAGGGGACACGGCAGAAGAAGAGAAAGAAAAGGUUAGAAAACUAGCCACAGUGGCACUGUGGUGCAUCCAGUGGAACCCAAAGAACCGUCCCUCGAUGACAAAGGUGGUAAACAUGUUGACAGGGAGGUUCCAGAAUCUACAGAUGCCCCCAAGGCCUUAUGUCCCAUCUGAAAACCAUGCUAUCCCUUAA